rnacentral:rRNA from 1 species
UGUCCAGACUCCUACGGGAGGCAGCAGUGGGGAAUAUUGCACAAUGGGGGAAACCCUGAUGCAGCAACGCCGCGUGAGUGAAGAAGUAUUUCGGUAUGUAAAGCUCUAUCAGCAGGGAAGAAAAUGACGGUACCUGAGUAAGAAGCCCCGGCUAACUACGUGCCAGCAGCCGCGGUAAUACGUAGGGGGCAAGCGUUAUCCGGAUUUACUGGGUGUAAAGGGAGCGUAGACGGCGAUGCAAGUCUGAAGUGAAAGCCCGGGGCUCAACCCCGGGACUGCUUUGGAAACUGUAUGGCUGGAGUGCUGGAGAGGCAAGCGGAAUUCCUAGUGUAGCGGUGAAAUGCGUAGAUAUUAGGAGGAACACCAGUGGCGAAGGCGGCCUGCUGGACUGCAACUGACGUUGAGGCUCGAAGGCGUGGGGAGCAAACAGGAUUAGAUACCCGUGUAA